rnacentral:rRNA from 1 species
AUCCUGGCUCAGGAUGAACGCUAGCGGCAGGCUUAACACAUGCAAGUCGAGGGGUAUAGUUCUUCGGAACUAGAGACCGGCGCACGGGUGCGUAACGCGUAUGCAAUCACUUUUACAGAGGGAUAGCCCAGAGAAAUUUGGAUUAAUACCUCAUAGUAUGUGAGAAUCGCAUGGUUUUCACAUUAAAGUUCCAACGGUAAAAGAUGAGCAUGCGUCCCAUUAGCUAGAUGGUAAGGUAACGGCUUACCAAGGCUACGAUGGGUAGGGGUCCUGAGAGGGAGAUCCCCCACACUGGUACUGAGACACGGACCAGACUCCUACGGGAGGCAGCAGUGAGGAAUAUUGGUCAAUGGGCGCAAGCCUGAACCAGCCAUGCCGCGUGCAGGAUGACGGUCCUAUGGAUUGUAAACUGCUUUUGUACAGGAAGAAACACUCCCUCGUGAGGGAGCUUGACGGUACUGUAAGAAUAAGGAUCGGCUAACUCCGUG